CAGUAGUCACGAGUUUGAUCCUGGCUCAGAACGAACGCUGGCGGCAUGCCUAACACAUGCAAGUCGAACGAGAUCUUCGGAUCUAGUGGCGCACGGGUGCGUAACGCGUGGGAAUCUGCCCUUUGCUUCGGAAUAACAGUUAGAAAUGACUGCUAAUACCGGAUGAUGUCUUCGGACCAAAGAUUUAUCGGCAAAGGAUGAGCCCGCGUAGGAUUAGGUAGUUGGUGGGGUAAAGGCCUACCAAGCCGACGAUCCUUAGCUGGUCUGAGAGGAUGAUCAGCCACACUGGGACUGAGACACGGCCCAGACUCCUACGGGAGGCAGCAGUGGGGAAUAUUGGACAAUGGGCGAAAGCUUGAUCCAGCAAUGCCGCGUGAGUGAUGAAGGCCUUCGGGUCGUAAAGCUCUUUUACCAGGGAUGAUAAUGACAGUACCUGGAGAAUAAGCUCCGGCUAACUCCGUG
rnacentral:rRNA from 1 species